rnacentral:misc_RNA from 1 species
CUAAUUUAAACUUUUCGGCAGGAAAUUUGAAAUAAAAUUGUUCAUGAUUUUUAGAUGUUUUCUUAGCUUACGGAAAUGAAGUUGGACAAAAAUAAGCUCGCGUCGAGACCUCGGCUGCUGUUCACAGUUGGCGGCUACUUGGACACACUGUUGAGUCGUAUAUUCUGUUUCCUAGUUCUGAGCGCAAUAGCUUUGCUGAUUAUCUUUACCGUUGUCGUUGCCAUGGACGAUAUAGCCAAGCUAAGGAAAAGACAAAACUUGCGCUUGGAAAACUGUAGCGAGAACAAAACACGCAACGGUCGUUGUUAUUGGCCCUCGGAUUGGUGUCGCAUUCUGUACAAUUGCGACUGGAAAGAGCCAAUGCGCAGGCAAUCGACUUCCAAACAACAACAGACCCAGCAACUACAGCCAGACGUACCGCCGUGCUCAACAGCAGUGCAUAGUAAGUCUGAAAUUAUAAAGUUCCUGGUGCAUCAACACCCACGAAAAGAAGUGGAGCAACAGCCGCCUGUCGCCAACGAAGUACUGGAGGUGCCUUUCAACUUGGAGCAACUGGACACAUCGUAAAAAAAAUUGCUUUUUUUUGGGGUUUCCCAAUUCCCAACUAUGAGGCGAGCAACAAGCAACUCUCAAAUGGCGACUAGUAUUAUUGCAUUACCUGACGUCCGGCAUUCGACCUUUUUUUUUUGCUCGAUUGACAAAGCUGUUGCUUUCAUUCUGGAAAUUCAAGGACCAAGUCCACAAUCCGAACGCAAUUUUUAAGCAAAUUGACAAAUUGUUUACAUGAAAAUACAAAUUUUUAGAGA